GAGAAUCCGUCUCAAGCCAACCAACAAAAAAACCUUUUAUUUUCAGUGCCAAAAAAGAUCUGGAAGGAAGUGGGCACUCAGAUGCUUUAUUCACCACACUAGGUAUUAUUCUAACACUUUAUGUAUCUAUUAAAUUAACCCAACAUAUUAGAUUUGCUGAAUUGCUGUCCAUAUUUCGUAGAUGUGAUAGCUGAAGCACAGAAUCAUUGGGUAAGUUGCCCAGAGUGGCAUUCAUGACUCAUGAAUGGCUUAGGAUAAUAAAGUAAACCCAGAUGCAUUCCCCUGGGACGCCCUUUCUGCUCUUCAAAACUGAAGCUUAGGCGGCGAGAGUUGACGUGGGGUUAGGGCUGCCCUCCUGGGACGGGUUGAAGGCAGGGUGAGCCUCUCGACCUCCAGGAAAUCAUUGCGUACCCAGUCACCAGCGUUCGAGAGCCUGUCGCAGAGAGAAGGACUGAAUCCGAAGCAGGCGACUGGGCGCGGAAGCGGGAUGUACUUCUGUUGGAGGGCCGGCUCCAGCGGGCUGCAGCGCCGGAGGACGGAGGGCAGCCCCGGGGCUGAGCUACUGCAGGCGGCCAGCGGGGAGCGUCACGCUCUGCUGCUGCUGACCAACUCCUCAGUCCACUCGUGCGGAGAGAACAGCUGGGGCCAGCUGGGCCGCAGGGGCGAGCCGCGCGGGGACCUGCCAGAACCAGUUCAGGCAUUGAAAACCCUAAAGUUUGAUCUUGUGAGCUGCGGGAAGGAGCACUCCCUGGCUGUGUGCCACAAAGGAAGGGUCUUCGCAUGGGGAGCUGGUUCUGAAGGGCAGCUGGGGAUUGGAGAAUUCAAGGAAAUAAAUUUCACACCUAAGAAAAUAACAGCUCUGACUGGUAUAAAAAUAAUACAAGUUUCCUGUGGACAUUACCACUCCCUGGCAUUAUCAAAAGAUAGCCAAGUGUUUUCAUGGGGAAAGAACAGCCACGGGCAGCUGGGCCUAGGGAAGGAGUUCCCCUCCCAAGCCAGUCCUCAGAGGGUGAGGUCCCUGGAGGGGAUCCCGCUGGCUCAGGUGGCUGCUGGAGGGGCUCACAGCUUUGCCCUAUCUCUCUGUGGGACUUCGUUUGGCUGGGGAAGUAACAGUUCAGGGCAGCUGGCCCUUAGUGGGCAUAAUGUCCAAGUGCAAAGCAACAAGCCUCUCUCAAUUGGUGCACUGAAGAAUCUAGGUGUGAUUUAUAUCAGCUGUGGUGAUAAGCACACUGCCGUGCUUAGCCAGGAUGGGAAAGUGUUCACAUUUGGAGACAAUAGUUCUGGGCAGCUGGGAUACAGCCCCAAUCCUGAGAAGAGAGGUCCGCAACUUGUGGAAAGAAUUCAUGGCCUAGUUUCACAGAUAGAUUGUGGAGGUGAUCACACCGUUGCAUAUGUGCACACCACUGGUCAGGUGGUAUCUUUUGGUCAUGGACCAAGUGACACAAGCAAGCCAACUCAUCCAGAGGCCCUGAAAGAGAACUUUGAUAUUAGAUGCUUGAUUUCUGCUGAUGACCUCAUGGAUGUUCAAGUCAAACACAUUUUUGCUGGAAAAUAUGCCAACUUUGUGACAACUCAUCAGGAUACUAGUUCCACAAGUGCUCCCAGGAAAACCCUGCCAGAAAUAAGCCGAAUUACCCAGUCCUUGGCAGAAAAGUGGAUAGCAGUGAAAACAAGAAGUACUGAACAUGGAGUGGCUGAAAGUGAAGUUAGAAUGAUAUUUUCAUCCCCUGCUUGUCUGACUGCGAGUUUUUUAAAGAAAAGAGGAGCUGGAGAAACGACUUCCAUUGAUGUGGACUUAGAAAUGGCAAGAGACACCUUCAAGAAGUUAACAAAGAAAGAAUGGAUUUCUUCCAUGAUAACUACAUGUCUCGAGGACAAUCUGCUCAGAGGUCUUCCAUGCCGUUCCCCCCACCAAGAAGCUUUAUCAAUUUUCCUCCUGCUCCCAGAAUGUCCUGUGAUGCAUGAUGCUAAGAACUGGAAGAACCUGGUGAUUCCAUUUGCAAAGGCUGUGUGUGAAAUGAGUAACAAAUCUUUGCAAGUCCUAAAGAAGUGUUGGGCAUUUUUGCAAGAAUCUUCUCUGAGCCCACUGGUCCAGAUGCUUAAAGCAGCCGUCAUCUCUCAGCUGUGUCAUUGGAAUGAAACCAAACAGGAUCACUGUAAUAUUAAAGCUCUUUUAGGAAUGAUGAAAAAACUGCAUAAGGUAAACAAAACUAAUUGUCGACUACCAGAAGAUACUUUCAACAUAAAUGAACUCUCCAACUUAUUAAACUUUUAUACAGAGAGACGAAGACAGCUCUCUCGGGAUAACCACCUGGUACCUGCAGAAACCCCCAGUCCUGUUAUUUUCGGUGAUUUUCCAUUUAUCUUUAAUUUGCUAUCCAAAAUUAAAUUACUGCAAGCUGAUUCACAUCUAAAGAUGUGGAUGUCAGAAGAUAAAGCAUUCAUGCAUAUGCAUGAAACAAUUCUGAAAAAAAAGGAAGAAUUUCCUCCAUCACCUAGAUUUAUACUUAGAGUCAGACGAAGUCACCUAGUUGAAGAUGCUCUGCGUCAAUUAAGUCAAGCUGAAGCCACUGACUUCUGCAAAUUAUUAGUGGUUGAAUUUAUUAAAGAAAUUCGACCUGAGGCUGGAGGGGUCAGUUCAGAGUUCUUCUACUGUAUAUUUGAAGAGAUGACUAAGCCGGAAUAUGGAAUGUUCAUGUAUCCUGAAAAGGAUUCCUGUAUGUGGUUUCCUGCCAAGCCUAAACUUGAGAAGAAAAGAUAUUUCCUCUUUGGGAUGCUGUGUGGACUCUCCUUAUUCAAUUUAAAUUUGGCUAACCUUCCUUUCCCACUGGCUCUGUAUAAAAAACUUCUGAACCAAAAGCCAUCACUGGAAGAUUUAAAAGAACUCAGUCCUCGAUUGGGGAAGAGUUUGCAAGAAGUUCUAAAUGAUGAUGCUGAUGACAUUGGAGACGUGCUUUGCCUACGCUUUUCUAUACAUUGGGACCAAAAUGAUGUUGAUUUAAUUCCAAAUGGGAUCUCUAUACCUGUGGACCAAGCCAACAAGCAGUUUAUGAGGAAUUUCAGAGAGGAUUUUAUAGAGUCUGUGAGAAGGAGAUACUUAGACAUUUCUACCCUGAAGAACUAAUGACAGCAAUCAUUGGAAAUACUGAUUAUGACUGGAAACAAUUUGAACAGAAUUCAAAGUAUGAGCAUGAAUACCAAAAAUCACAUCCUACUAUACGGUUGUUUUGGAAGGCUUUUCACAAACUUACCUUGGAUGAAAAGAAAAAAUUCCUAAUUUUUCUUACAGGACGUGAUAGGCUGCAUGUAAGAGGCAUACAGGAAAUAGAAAUGGUAUUUCGCUGUCCUGAAACUCUCAGUGAAAGAGAUCACCCAAGAUCAAUAACUUGUCACAAUAUUCUGGACCUCCCUAAGUAUUCUACAAUGGAAAGAAUGGAGGAAGCACUUCAAGUAGCCAUCAACAACAACAGAGGAUUUGUGUCACCCAUGCUCAUGCUCACACAGUCAUAAUUACCUCCAAGAGUCUCAGAGUUGGCUUUUUCAUACUUGGAUCCUUCUGUUCUUCCUUACACCUAAAUAAUACAAGAGGUUAAGGAAUAGUAGUUAAAAGUAGUUGAGGGAGAGGUUAGGGGAAUGGGGAGAGGAUGGUGACUGUCAAAGGGCACAAAAUCUCACACAAGACUGAGGCAGGAGAAUAGGGCCUAGAGAUAGGGAUCUAAGGAUGACUUGGACAGAUUCCCUGAAGCUGAAGAGUCUGAAUGCUGCCCUGCGAUUGGUUCAUUCAGGACCUUCAUUUGCAUAAGGCAUCAAACCACAUCAGUCUCUGACUGGCCAUGGGCCAAACCUGCACUCUGGCCAAUGACUGGUUCAUUCCAGGACCUUCAUUUGCCUAAGGAGCCAAACCACACAAGUUUGGGGUUGGCCAUGGACAAAUUCACCUCAGCCUCUAAUUGGCUGUGAGCCAGUCUUUCAUUUACGUAGGGUGUAAUCAUCAAGAAACCUCUACAGGGUACUUAAGCCCCAGAAGAUUUUGCUACAAGGGCUCUUGAGCCACUUGCUGGAGCCCACUCCCACCCUGUGGCAUGUACUUUCACUUUUGCUCCUUCACCGCCUUGUGCUCCAAUAAAUCCACUCUUUCACCACUU